GAUAGAUCUUAUGAUAUCCUGUAUUCUAUUUACGACUUUCUCUUUGCUCGUUAUUACUUUUUAUUGUAAUGAAAACUCAAACAACAUUCACGAUAUCAAAAAAAUAAAAUAGAAUGAUAAAAUAAUUCAAGAUGAGGUCCAAAAUGUCUAUGGUCAUGACUUACGAUGCAGACGGAGGCUUCUGUUGAGUCAACGAAUAACAGGAUGUCAUAAAAAUUAAAUGUGGUGUCAAAAGA
rnacentral:lncRNA from 1 species